rnacentral:rRNA from 1 species
GGUUUGAUUAUGGCUCAGAUUGAACGCUGGCGGGAUGCUUUACAUGCAAGUCGAACGGCAGCACGGACUUCGGUCUGGUGGCGAGUGGCGAACGGGUGAGUAAUGUAUCGGAACGUGCCUAGUAGCGGGGGAUAACUACGCGAAAGCGUGGCUAUCUCCUGCAGCAUCAAGGGCGCAGGGAGGACCCGGGCCUCGCGCACACUAUUAAACGGCCGAUAUCGGAUUGGCUAGUUGGUGGGGUAACGGCUCACCAGGCGACGAUCCGUAGCUGGUUUGAGAGGACGACCAGCUACACUGGGACUGAGACACGGCCCAGACUCCUGCAGGAGGCAGCAGUGGGGAAUUUUGGACAAUGGGGAAACCCUGAUCCCAGCCAUCCCGCGUGUGCGAUGAAGGCCUUCCGGGUUGUAAAGCACUUUUGGCAGAAAAACAGCACGGGAUAAUACCCGUGCAACUGACAAUGCCUGCGGAAUAAGCGCCGGCUAACCGUGCCAGCAGCCGCGGUAAUACGUAGGGUGCAAGCGUUAAUCAGAUUACUGGGCGUAAAGCGUGCGCAGGCGGUUCGGAAGAAGAUGUGAAAUCCCAGAGCUUAACUUUGGAACUGCAUUUUUAACCUGCCGAGCUAGAGUGUGUGUCAGAGGAGGUGGAAUUCCGCGUAUAGCAGUGAAAUGCGUAGAUAUGCGGAGGAACACCGAUGGCGAAGGCAGCCUCCUGGGAUAACUGCGAGCAGCUCAUGCGCGAAAGCGUGGGGAGCAAACAGGAUUAGAUACCUGGUAGUCCACGCCCUAAACGAUGUCAACUAGCUGUUGGGGCCUUCGGGCCUUGGUGGCCUGGCUAACGCGUGGUUGACCGCCUGGGGAGUACGGUCGCAAGAUUAAGGCUCGAAAUUGACGGGGACCCACUGAAGCGGUGGAUGAUGUGGAUUAAUUCGAUACAACGCCAACCUUACCUACCCUUGACAUGUCUAGAAUCCCGAAGAGAUUUAGGGAGUGCUCGCAAGAGAACCGGAACACAGGUGCUGCAUGGCUGUCGUCAACUCGUGUCGUGAGAUGUUGGGUUAAGUCCGCAACAGGCGCAGCCCUUGUCAUUAGUUGCUGAGGGCACUCUAAUGAGACUGCCGGUGACAAACCGGAGGAAGGUGGGGAUGACGUCGAAGUCCUCAUGGCCCUUAUGGGUAGGGCUUCACGUCAUGCAAUGGUCAGGACAGAGGGUCGCCAAUCCGCGAGGAAUAUCAAAGCAGUCGUAGUCGGAUCGCAGUCUGCAACUCGACUGCGUGAAGUCAGAAUCGCCCGUAAUCGCGGAUCAGCAUGUCGCGGUGAAUACGUUCCCGAGGUCUUGUACCACCGCCCGUCACACCAUGGGAGUGGGUUUUACCAGAAGUAGUUAGCCUAACCGUAAGGAGGGCGAUUACCACGGUAAAUUCAUGGCUGGGGUGAAGUCGCCAACAAGGUAG